rnacentral:tRNA from 1 species
GCCGGUGUGGUGGAAUUGGUAGACACAGGGGACUUAAAAUCCCCCGACCUUUAAAAGUCGUGCUGGUUCAAAUCCAGCCACCGGUACCA